rnacentral:rRNA from 1 species
AGAGUUUGAUCAUGGCUCAGAAUCAACGCUGGCGGCGUGCCUAACACAUGCAAGUCGAACGCGAAUGUGGAGCAAUCCACUAGUAGAGUGGCAAACGGGUGAGUAACGCGUGGGCGACCUGACCUUUGAGUGGGGGAUAACCUUCCGAAAGGAGGGCUAAUACCGCAUGACAUCCCGUGUUUAGAUACACGGACAUCAAAGUCGGGGAUCGUAAGACCUGGCGCUUGAAGAGGGGCCCGCGUCCGAUUAGCUAGUUGGUGAGGUAACGGCUCACCAAGGCUCCGAUCGGUAUCCGGCCUGAGAGGGCAGACGGACACACUGGAACUGAGACACGGAGCAGACUCCUAC